GUGGGGAAUAUUGGACAAUGGGGGGAACCCUGAUCCAGCCAUGCCGCGUGUGUGAAGAAGGCCUUUUGGUUGUAAAGCACUUUAAGCGAGGAGGAGGCUACCGAGAUUAAUACUCUUGGAUAGUGGACGUUACUCGCAGAAUAAGCACCGGCUAACUCUGUGCCAGCAGCCGCGGUAAUACAGAGGGUGCAAGCGUUAAUCGGAUUUACUGGGCGUAAAGCGCGCGUAGGUGGCCAAUUAAGUCAAAUGUGAAAUCCCCGAGCUUAACUUGGGAAUUGCAUUCGAUACUGGUUGGCUAGAGUAUGGGAGAGGAUGGUAGAAGUCCAGGUGUAGCGGUGAAAUGCGUAGAGAUCUGGAGGAAUACCGAUGGCGAAGGCAGCCAUCUGGCCUAAUACUGACACUGAGGUGCGAAAGCAUGGGGAGCAAACAGGAUUAGAUACCCCGGUAGUCC
rnacentral:rRNA from 1 species